UUUUUUUUUUUUUUUUUUUUUUUUUUUUUUUUUUCUUCUUAUUUUUUUUUUUUUUAAGAAAACGAAGAUAUAUUGUCAGAGUUUAUGUGUAAGGAAUCUAAUAG
rnacentral:ribozyme from 1 species